UAAAAAGCUCCGAUGACA
rnacentral:tRNA from 1 species